rnacentral:rRNA from 1 species
ACAAACAGAUCAAAUUAAAAUUGGAUAGUAAAAAAGGAGGUUAAUAAAUUUGUUAUGGAAAAAUAAUGCUUUUUAGGGAGGUGGAAUUUGUAUAAGAAGAGGUAAUUUAGGUUUUUCUUUUUUUGAGGCCUCGAAAUUUUGUUAUGAGACCGGGAUUAGAUACCCCGUUAUUCGGAAUGUAAACUUUAAUUGUAUAUAUAAUUUACUUGAGUAUUACGAGUGUAGGAGUAAUAAUUACUAUAGUUCUUAAAACUCAAAAAACUUGGCGGUGCCUUAUAUCCUUCCAGGGGAACCUGUCCUAUAAUCGAUAGUCCACGAUUUAACUUUCUUUCUUUUGAAUAUAUCAGCUUGUAUACCGUCGUCGUCAGGUUACCUUUAAGAGCUAUGAAGUUAUCGGUAAGAAUUAGAGUAAGUUGGACCCUGAAUAAUAUCAGGUCUAGUUUAGUUAUGUUCUAGACGUCAGAUCAAGGUGCAGCCUAUAAGAAAGUAGAGAUGGGUUACAGUAAUAAUUUAUUAUAAUGAAUUUUUUGUUGUAAAUAGCAAAAUUGAAGGAGGACUUGGAAGUAAUUAGUUUAAAAAUAAGAGAGUUUAAAUGAAAAUAGGCUCUGAGGUGCGC